rnacentral:rRNA from 1 species
GACGAACGCUGGCGGCGUGCCUAAUACAUGCAAGUAGAACGCUGAAGGAAGGAGCUUGCUCUUUCCGGAUGAGUUGCGAACGGGUGAGUAACGCGUAGGUAACCUGCCUGGUAGCGGGGGAUAACUAUUGGAAACGAUAGCUAAUACCGCAUAAAAUUGAUUAUUGCAUGAUAGUCAAUUAAAAGGUGCAACUGCACCACUACCAGAUGGACCUGCGUUGUAUUAGCUAGUUGGUGGGGUAACGGCUCACCAAGGCGACGAUACAUAGCCGACCUGAGAGGGUGAUCGGCCACACUGGGAUCUGAGACACGGCCCAGACUCCUACGGGAGGCAGCAGUAGGGAAUCUUCGGCAAUGGACGAAAGUCUGACCGAGCAACGCCGCGUGACGUGAAGAAGGUUUUCUGGA